rnacentral:rRNA from 1 species
AACGAACGCUGGCGGCAUGCCUAACACAUGCAAGUCGAACGAGACCUUCGGGUCUAGUGGCGCACGGGUGCGUAACGCGUGGGAACCUGCCCUUAGGUUCGGAAUAACUCCCCGAAAGGGGUGCUAAUACCGGAUAAUGUCUUCGGACCAAAGAUUUAUCGCCCUUGGAUGGGCCCGCGUUGGAUUAGCUAGUUGGUAGGGUAAAAGCCUACCAAGGCGACGAUGCAUAGCUGGUCUGAGAGGAGGAUCAGCCACACUGGAACUGAGACACGGCCCAGACUCCUACGGGAGGCAGGAGUAGGGAAUAUUCCGCAAUGGGCGAAAGCCUGGCGGAGUAACGCCGCGUGAGUGAUGAAGGUCUUCGGAUCGUAAAACUCUGUUAUUAGGGAAGAACAUAUGUGUAAGUAACUGUGCGCAUCGUGACGGUAACUAAUAAGAAAGCCACGGCUAACGACGUG